rnacentral:lncRNA from 1 species
ACGUUCAUGCCAACACAAAAGCAUAGCUAUGCAACGACGAAGAAUGUAGAAUUUUGCUCUUUGCUUCUUCACCAAAUGACUACACUUUUGGCCAAAAGAUUUGCAAGGAUCACAACCAUGUUCUUGUUGUUGCUGAAUAUUUUGGCUUGAGUUGGUUUCUUCCACUGCCAUGAAUUGAAUAAUGAGUUUAUGACACAAUUUGUGUAGUUUGUGUAAUGCUACUUAUUUUGGCACCAUAUAGAAG